ACAACUCUAGAGAUAGAGCCUUCCCCUUCGGGGGACAAAGUGACAGGUGGUGCAUGGUUGUCGUCAGCUCGUGUCGUGAGAUGUUGGGUUAAGUCCCGCAACGAGCGCAACCCUUAAGCUUAGUUGCCAGCAUUAAGUUGGGCACUCUAGGUUGACUGCCGGUGACAAACCGGAGGAAGGUGGGGAUGACGUCAAAUCAUCAUGCCCCUUAUGAUUUGGGCUACACACGUGCUACAAUGGACGGUACAAAGGGCAGCGAACCCGCGAGGUCAAGCAAAUCCCAUAAAGCCGUUCUCAGUUCGGAUUGUAGUCUGCAACUCGACUACAUGAAGCUGGAAUCGCUAGUAAUCGUAGAUCAGCAUGCUACGGUGAAUACGUUCCCGGGUCUUGUACACACCGCCCGUCACACCACGAGAGUUUGUAACACCCGAAGCCGGUGGAGUAACCUUUUAGGAACUAGCCGUCGAAGGUGGGACAAAUGAUUGGGGUGAAGUCGUAAC
rnacentral:rRNA from 1 species